GGCUUGCUCAGGCUCAUCCCAAGAAGCCCCAGCUGCCCAGCUGGCCCUAAGCAUUGCCUGAGGCUGGUGUUGCCAUGGUGACAGUGAGAGGUGGGUUAAACGAGGGCAGCAGAAAGGGAAGGGCUGAGAGAGGCCCUUCAAGGACAAUGCACCAGCAUCCUGGCACAUGGACACACUCUGAAGAGGUCCCUGCUGAAUCCCUGGAGUCCUAAGUUCUGUCUCCCCUGCCUGUCUCAGAGCUCCUGUCCCUGAGCUGGCUCCACCUGCACCUCUCCUGACAGCACCCUCCACAUGGCCCCAGACUCAGUGGCAGUCAGAGCCAGCCUGGACCGAUCAUGUCUUCCCUCUCUCAUCCAUCUUCGUGUCUGGGCAUUCACUUGUUUCAGAAGCGCCACUGUCACCGCUGGACUCUUACUUUCAAUCUGAUUGUGUUCAUUGUGAGCUCCCCAUAUGUUACAUUGUCUCACCAGGACAAACUCCUCGCAGCCUGCUGAGAUUAAAGAGAAAUAAAUAGACGAGCUGAAGCAUGAAGGAUUUGGGCUAGACAAAGAACUAUUUCCUGUCGUUGAGCUGCCAAGAAAGUUUGUGAAAUUCUCUUCUCACAGGACUUGAAAAGGAGAAUCGUUUUCCCAGUGGUCUGGAGUUUUAUUUAGAUGCCAUGCUCUGUAGAAGGAUUAGGCUCUUUCUAAACCAAUUAUUUCUUUAAAUACACUGGUUGGCCUGCGGCAAACACAGGGUUAACAGUAUUGCCUCGUCGUUCACUAUUGGCAAAGGUUUCAAAGGUGGUGUACAUCUGUGGCCCACACCAGUUUAUCUGAGGUCUAUAAUUUCUUUUCAUUGGGAAUAAGUAGUUGGAGACCUGAAGAGGUGAUUACUUCUCAUAAUGUGUGCAUUGAGUUGUGUGGGCCGGUGGUUGUUGAGUGUGCUUUCCCCCACAUUGUUGCUGGUG
rnacentral:lncRNA from 1 species